GUGCUUUGGGAGCACGUAAACUAAAAUUGGAAAAAUGCAGAGAAAAUGAGCAUGGUCAGUACACAGGGUGACAUGCACGUUUGUGAAGCAUUCCAUAUAUAU